GCAGGGCUAGUGACUGGGGUGAAGUCGUAACAAGGUAGCCGUACCGGAAGGUGUGGCUGGAUCACCUCCUUAAAGGGAGACCUAAUUCAGGUAUGGGACGAAAAAAAGUAGUCGCUACCAAGAAUCAAUCCCAAAAGGUCGGAGCGAGGCAUGAGGCUUUCAAACUAGGUUCUGGGUUCAUAAAAGACCUGAAUCAGGAACAAGGGCUAUUAGCUCAGGUGGUUAGAGCGCACCCCUGAUAAGGGUGAGGUCCCUGGUUCGAGUCCAGGAUGGCCCACCUGCACAGGUGGCCAAAAAAAAGAAGCGAGGAAUCAGCACCUUAUCCUAAUUUAUAUAUAGGAGAGAAUGCUGGCUCUGAGUAAAGAGUCCAGAGGAACCUUGAAAACUGC
rnacentral:misc_RNA from 1 species